GGCCGCGUUCGGGAGAUUUAAGAUGGCCACCAUCCUUUGUUCUCGCCACGUGUUCGUAUGCCGAAUGGCGGCCACCUAGGAGCACUCAAUUACUUUUGGUUUUCGUGUGGUUACUUGGUGUUCUAAGUUCUGAUUGCUACCCAGGGUGGUCUCUGUUCGGUAGAACAAAUAAUUUUCCGAACACAUAAAUAAAACGAAUAUUUCAAAGUCACUUAAAUGGCAGGGAAAAGAAAUAAC